GCGCCGCUAGCUCAGUUGGUUAGAGCAGCUGACUCUUAAUCAGCGGGUCCGGGGNCUGGCGGCGCA
rnacentral:tRNA from 1 species